rnacentral:rRNA from 1 species
GUGCGGCGUACCUAAUACAUGCAAGUCGAGCGAAUGGAUUAAGAGCUUGCUCUUAUGAAGUUAGCGGCGGACGGGUGAGUAACACGUGGGUAACCUGCCCAUAAGACUGGGAUAACUCCGGGAAACCGGGGCUAAUACCGGAUAACAUUUUGAACCGCAUGGUUCGAAAUUGAAAGGCGGCUUCGGCUGUCACUUAUGGAUGGACCCGCGUCGCAUUAGCUAGUUGGUGAGGUAACGGCUCACCAAGGCAACGAUGCGUAGCCGACCUGAGAGGGUGAUCGGCCACACUGGGACUGAGACACGGCCCAGACUCCUACGGGAGGCAGCAGUAGGGAAUCUUCCGCAAUGGACGAAAGUCUGACGGAGCAACGCCGCGUGAGUGAUGAAGGCUUUCGGGUCGUAAAACUCUGUUGUUAGGGAAGAACAAGUGCUAGUUGAAUAAGCUGGCACCUUGACGGUACCUAACCAGAAAGCCACGGCUAACUACGUGCCAGCAGCCGCGGUAAUACGUAGGUGGCAAGCGUUAUCCGGAAUUAUUGGGCGUAAAGCGCGCGCAGGUGGUUUCUUAAGUCUGAUGUGAAAGCCCACGGCUCAACCGUGGAGGGUCAUUGGAAACUGGGAGACUUGAGUGCAGAAGAGGAAAGUGGAAUUCCAUGUGUAGCGGUGAAAUGCGUAGAGAUAUGGAGGAACACCAGUGGCGAAGGCGACUUUCUGGUCUGUAACUGACACUGAGGCGCGAAAGCGUGGGGAGCAAACAGGAUUAGAAC